AGGUAACAUUGAAUCGUACCCCAAACCGACACAGGUGGUCAGGUAGAGAAUACCAAGGCGCUUGAGAGAACUCGGGUGAAGGAACUAGGCAAAAUGGUGCCGUAACUUCGGGAGAAGGCACGCUGGCAUGUAGGUGAAGUCCUUCGCGGAUGGAGCUGAAGCCAGUCGAAGAUACCAGCUGGCUGCAACUGUUUAAUAAAAACACAGCACUGUGCAAACACGAAAGUGGACGUAUACGGUGUGACGCCUGCCCGGUGCUGGAAGGUUAAUUGAUGGGGUCAGCCGCAAGGCGAAGCUCUUGAUCGAAGCCCCAGUAAACGGCGGCCGUAACUAUAACGGUCCUAAGGUAGCGAAAUUCCUUGUCGGGUAAGUUCCGACCUGCACGAAUGGCGUAAUGAUGGCCAGGCUGUCUCCACCCGAGACUCAGUGAAAUUGAACUCGCUGUGAAGAUGCAGUGUACCCGCGGCAAGACGGAAAGACCCCGUGAACCUUUACUAUAGCUUGACACUGAACAUUGAGCCUUGAUGUGUAGGAUAGGUGGGAGGCUUUGAAGCGUGGACGCCAGUCUGCGUGGAGCCAUCCUUGAAAUACCACCCUUUAAUGUUUGAUGUUCUAACUCGGCCCCAUAAUCUGGGGUGAGGACAGUGUCUGGUGGGUAGUUUGACUGGGGCGGUCUCCUCCCAAAGAGUAACGGAGGAGCACGAAGGUUAGCUAAUCACGGUCGGACAUCGUGAGGUUAGUGCAAAGGCAUAAGCUAGCUUGACUGCGAGAGUGACGGCUCGAGCAGGUACGAAAGUAGGUCUUAGUGAUCCGGUGGUUCUGAAUGGAAGGGCCAUCGCUCAACGGAUAAAAGGUACUCCGGGGAUAACAGGCUGAUACCGCCCAAGAGUUCAUAUCGACGGCGGUGUUUGGCACCUCGAUGUCGGCUCAUCACAUCCUGGGGCUGAAGUAGGUCCCAAGGGUAUGGCUGUUCGCCAUUUAAAGUGGUACGCGAGCUGGGUUUAGAACGUCGUGAGACAGUUCGGUCCCUAUCUGCCGUGGGCGUUGGAAGAUUGAGAGGGGUUGCUCCUAGUACGAGAGGACCGGAGUGAACGCACCACUGGUGUUCGGGUUGUCAUGCCAAUGGCAUUGCCCGGUAGCUAAGUGCGGAAAAGAUAAGCGCUGAAAGCAUCUAAGCGCGAAACUUGCCUCAAGAUGAGUCUUCCCUGGGCCUUUAAGG
rnacentral:rRNA from 1 species